GGGGCGGGCAAAUUUGGAAGCAGCCAAUGACAGCACCACUAGCCGCGAUCUGGCUCGACUCGCAACCGGGGGAGGACGAGCGCAGGGCCUGAAGGGAGGGGUUCGGACCCGGCUGCCCGGGAGCGAAGACGGAAGUGGAGCGAGGACAAAAUGGCCGCGAAGAAAGAUCUGUAACUUCAACUCCAGAAAGUGGAAGAUGUGUGCUGUGGGAGGCUGCUUUCAAUUUUCUUUGGUAUCUACAAUCAUCCUCUUGCCACUCAACGUAUCAAGUACAGUCUCUGAAUUUCACAGUUUUUAACCUCUGAACUACCUACAACAUUUUAACUAUUGAACCUUUGGGAAAUGGAACAAGGACCAAACCACCUAACAGCAGUGAUUAAAGAAAGAGUAGAUGAUCUGUCUCUUAGUCAAAGCACCUUGUAGGACUUGAUGAUUCAGUUUAUGGAUUUAAAGGUCAAUAAAAUGAAUGUCCUGUUUCCACCUCUUUAAA